rnacentral:rRNA from 1 species
ACGGGAGGCAGCAGUGGGGAAUAUUGGACAAUGGGGGCAACCCUGAUCCAGCCAUGCCGCGUGUGUGAAGAAGGCCUUUUGGUUGUAAAGCACUUUAAGCGAGGAGGAGGCUUACCUGGUUAAUACCUGGGAUAAGUGGACGUUACUCGCAGAAUAAGCACCGGCUAACUCUGUGCCAGCAGCCGCGGUAAUACAGAGGGUGCAAGCGUUAAUCGGAUUUACUGGGCGUAAAGCGCGCGUAGGUGGCUAAUUAAGUCAAAUGUGAAAUCCCCGAGCUUAACUUGGGAAUUGCAUUCGAUACUGGUUAGCUAGAGUAUGGGAGAGGAUGGUAGAAUUCCAGGUGUAGCGGUGAAAUGCGUAGAGAUCUGGAGGAAUACCGAUGGCGAAGGCAGCCAUCUGGCCUAAUACUGACACUGAGGUGCGAAAGCAUGGGGAGCAAACAGGAUUAGAUACCCUGGUAGUCCAUGCCGUAAACGAUGUCUACUAGCCGUUGGGGCCCUUGAGGCUUUAGUGGCGCAGCUAACGCGAUAAGUAGACCGCCUGGGGAGUA